AUCUUGAAAACGGAAAAUAAAAACAGCAGACCUAUGAAGGUCGAAGGGGAAGAAAAGCUGUAUCGAUUGUUGAGAUCUGGCGACUUGUUUAAAUUUCAUCAGCCUCACUUCUAUGAACUCUCAGGCCUCACGUGUACCAGCUCUCUGCUCUCCUUUGCCUUGGGACGUUCCAUCCCUGGAAGUUUCCCUGCCCACAUCUUUGUAGAGAGUCCAUUCUCCAAGCUUCAGUGUGUCAUCUGUGAGGACCGUGACCCACCUGGUACAUCGCCUCAGGGCAUUCAUUUCAGGCUCCUUCUAAAUGGCCAAGUUUUGAAAUGGAAUUGCCAGCAUGCUAAAGAUACACCAUUCAGUUCUCAUCCCACUUUGCAUAGCUUGGAAUCUAUGAUCCUGCAAAUAUCUUUUAACUGCAUUUUGAUCAAGCAUAUCCACAGAUGGGAUGAAGAGAAUGAUUCAGCUGCUUCUCAAAAUCCCUACCUCAUUGGCAAGGACUUUUCAACUGUGGCUGCGCCUAAGACAAUUUUAGCAAAAACCAUGUGGGAAAAAUGUAGGAAAUUGUUAGUGCCCAAUAUACAGACGAUAGCAAUACAAGGUGCAAUCUAAAAAGGAAGAUAAUUAACAGCCAUAUGGGUAACUUCAGUUCAUAUUUUUGCAAAGAACUUUGGGAAUAUUGACUCAUGGAAAUGGAGCCUGUGUAAGACACAAAUGAUACUUUUGAACAUCUGCCAGCAAGUAUGUCAACUACCUGUCCAAGAAAAUAAAGAACUAUUGUUGCUCCA
rnacentral:lncRNA from 1 species